CACAACACGCCUCUCAGAGCUCCGGACCGGAAGUGAUGGCCUACCGUGGCUCGGCGGUAGCUAGCUCGGCGGUAGCUAGCUCAGCCCCACGCAUCUCCGGUGUUCCCGAAGUUCUGCCUUCAUUUCGCGGACCUUAUACUCGGUGAAGCUCAUGUCCAGCUCGGUCUUCCCGGGAAUUCGUGUGAGGAACGGCUGAAAUAAAGCAGCCGGUGGAGGUAUUGACCCGAGGAGCCUCUCUACUGCCGACAGUUACAAAGCUGGGCCUGAAUGAAUAACGACAUAUUGAUCAGAACUGAAGCCUCUGCAGGACAGGAAGUCAUCACGUCUCACAUGAACGCGGACAGAAACGGGCCGUUAAUGAGGCUCAGAGCCGACCGCUGCAGAGCCAGGUCUGACGGCGCUCGGCUCAUUUCUGCAGCAUCUCAGGCUCAAGUGGCAGCUGCGGCUUUAGAGAAGCACUUGAUGCUGCAGCUGCUGCUGCUGCUGCCGGGAGAACCACUCCAACACCUGCAGCGGUUAGCAGGUGGAGGGUCGGAGUCACUUCCACCGGUUUGAUCCGUAAAAUCAGCAGCAGAAAUUCCUGCUUCCCGAUCUGUCCUUCAGAUUGAUCCAUUUCUUCUUUCUACAAACAGUUUGGCCUGAAAAUCAUCUCCAUCGACAAUCACUGACAUACGACUGCAUGUUGGUGCCAUUGGUAUAAAUACAUGUAUAAAAAAUCAGUACAUUUCUGCAGCGACAGACUUAAACUCUCCAAAUUUUUAUAGAAAAAAAGGUUAGAAUUUUCUGAAUUUAAAAUGUUAACAAAGUUAGAUUUUUUUAAACAAAAAAGUUGAAAAUGUUCUACGUUUCCAAAGAGAAUCCUUCAGUGUUGCUCCAUCUGUAAACAUGUUUAAAACGCUUUAAGCUGAAUUGUUGCACAAGAAGAAAAGAAACGAUGAUAAUGAUUCGAAAGCAGAAGUUAUGUUUCAGACGACUUCGCUUUUAUUUUGGUAGUCCACCUCCAGUUAUCGGCCAGUAAAUUUGCGUUUGGCACGAACAAGAACAUUCACCUGCCAACUAAAUAUUUAACUUGUCAGCUAAAUAUUUAAAAUAUAGCCAGUUAAAUCAUAAUUAGUGUAAAACUAAAUAUCGGUGCUAACUAAAUAUUUAAUUUAGAGAUUUAUUUAAUCAAUUAAAUAUUUUGCUUGAAACUAACAUUUAUAUAUAAAUCAAUAACAUGAUGAAAGUGCCUCCGGACAAUGAAUCCCCAUUUCUGCUGCUGGUUGUUGGCUGUAGUUUCAAACGCCUC